AUGCAGAUCUAUGCGAAAGUGACGAAAGGCAUUCAAAAGGUGCCCUUCCCACCGCAGAUUAACGCCUCUUGCAAGUCG
rnacentral:rRNA from 1 species